CCUACGGGAGGCAGCAGUGGGGAAUAUUGGACAAUGGGCGAAAGCCUGAUCCAGCAAUUCCGCGUGUGUGAAGAAGGCCUUCGGGUUGUAAAGCACUUUAGUGGGGGAAGAAACAGCUUGGCCACACCAAGCCUUGACGGUACCCCAAGAAUAAGCACCGGCUAACUCUGUGCCAGCAGCCGCGGUAAUACAGAGGGUGCAAGCGUUAAUCGGAUUUACUGGGCGUAAAGGGUGCGUAGGUGGCUAUUUAAGUCGGAUGUGAAAGCCCGGGGCUCAACCUCGGAAUUGCAUUCGAUACUGAGUGGCUAGAGUUCGGUAGAGGGCGGCGGAAUUUCCGGUGUAGCGGUGAAAUGCGUAGAUAUCGGAAGGAACAUCAAUGGCGAAGGCAGCCGCCUGGGCCUGGACUGACACUGAGGCACGAAAGCGUGGGUAGCAAACAGGAUUAGAUACCCUGGUAGUCCACGCCGUAAACGAUGAGAACUUGACGUUGGUUCGUUUUACGAAUCGGUGUCGCNGCUACGACGAUAGUUACGUCCGUCCGUCGGGUAGGUACGGCCGCGAGGUUAGUAACGUACGAAGAAGUAGACGGCGUGAGACGUGACCGACGGACGACGACGAGGGAGGAGG
rnacentral:rRNA from 1 species